UACGAAGGGGGCUAGCGUUGUUCGGAAUUACUGGGCGUAAAGCGCACGUAGGCGGAUAUUUAAGUCAGGGGUGAAAUCCCGGGGCUCAACCCCGGAACUGCCUUUGAUACUGGGUAUCUCGAGUCCGAGAGAGGUGAGUGGAAUUCCGAGUGUAGAGGUGAAAUUCGUAGAUAUUCGGAGGAACACCAGUGGCGAAGGCGGCUCACUGGCGAGGUACUGACGCUGAGGUGCGAAAGCGUGCGGAGCAAACGGG
rnacentral:rRNA from 1 species